rnacentral:rRNA from 1 species
AGAGUUUGAUCCUGGCUCAGGACGAACGCUGGCGGCGCGCCUAACACAUGCAAGUCGAACGAGCGAGAGAGAGCUUGCUUUCUCGAGCGAGUGGCGAACGGGUGAGUAACGCGUGAGGAACCUGCCUCAAAGAGGGGGACAACAGUUGGAAACGACUGCUAAUACCGCAUAAGCCCACGGCUCGGCAUCGAGCAGAGGGAAAAGGAGCAAUCCGCUUUGAGAUGGCCUCGCGUCCGAUUAGCUAGUUGGUGAGGUAAUGGCCCACCAAGGCAACGAUCGGUAGCCGGACUGAGAGGUUGAACGGCCACAUUGGGACUGAGACACGGCCCAGACUCCUACGGGAGGCAGCAGUGGGGAAUAUUGCACAAUGGGGGAAACCCUGAUGCAGCGACGCCGCGUGGAGGAAGAAGGUCUUCGGAUUGUAAACUCCUGUUGUUGAGGAAGAUAAUGACGGUACUCAACAAGGAAGUGACGGCUAACUACGUGCCAGCAGCCGCGGUAAAACGUAGGUCACAAGCGUUGUCCGGAAUUACUGGGUGUAAAGGGAGCGCAGGCGGGAAGACAAGUUGGAAGUGAAAUCUAUGGGCUCAACCCAUAAACUGCUUUCAAAACUGUUUUUCUUGAGUAGUGCAGAGGUAGGCGGAAUUCCCGGUGUAGCGGUGGAAUGCGUAGAUAUCGGGAGGAACACCAGUGGCGAAGGCGGCCUACUGGGCACCAACUGACGCUGAGGCUCGAAAGUGUGGGUAGCAAACAGGAUUAGAUACCCUGGUAGUCCACACCGUAAACGAUGAUUACUAGGUGUUGGAGGAUUGACCCCUUCAGUGCCGCAGUUAACACAAUAAGUAAUCCACCUGGGGAGUACGACCGCAAGGUUGAAACUCAAAGGAAUUGACGGGGGCCCGCACAAGCAGUGGAGUAUGUGGUUUAAUUGGACGCAACGAGAAGAACCUUACCAAGUCUUGACAUCCUGUGAGGAUGCUGUAAUCAUUAUUUUCGUUUGGGACGCAGAGACAGUUGGUGCAUGGUCGUUGUCAGCUCGUGUCGCGAGAUGUUGGGUUAAGUCCCG